AGAUACUGUGACGACAGCCACGUCUGGUACGAACAACACACGUCGGAGGUGUGUCGGCGGGUCCGGAGAGUCUCCUUCUCCAGAAAUCUGAAACAGAGAUGCCUGACUAAGAUGUGCAGCAAGCCGUGACCAGAGGGGAGACAAAGGAG